rnacentral:rRNA from 1 species
UACGUAGGUGGCAAGCGUUGUCCGGAUUUAUUGGGUUUAAAGGGUGCGUAGGCGGUUGUAUAAGUCAGUGCUGAAAUAUCCCAGCUUAACUGGGAGGGUGGCAUUGAUACUGUAUGACUUGAGUAGAGUUGAGGUUGGCGGAAUUGACGGUGUAGCGGUGAAAUGCUUAGAUAUCGUCAAGAACACCGAUAGUGAAGACAGCUAACUAAGCUCUAACUGACGCUGAGGCACGAAAGUGUGGGGAUCAAACAGGA